rnacentral:misc_RNA from 1 species
UACGUAGGGUGCAAGCGUUGUCCGGAAUUACUGGGCGUAAAGAGUUCGUAGGCGGUUUGUCGCGUCGUUUGUGAAAACUCACAGCUCAACUGUGAGCCUGCAGGCGAUACGGGCAGACUUGAGUACUGCAGGGGAGACUGGAAUUCCUGGUGUAGCGGUGAAAUGCGCAGAUAUCAGGAGGAACACCGGUGGCGAAGGCGGGUCUCUGGGCAGUAACUGACGCUGAGGAACGAAAGCGUGGGGAGCAAACAGG